CACGAACGCUGGCGGCAGGCUUAACACAUGCAAGUCGAGCGCCCCGCAAGGGGAGCGGCAGACGGGUGAGUAACGCGUGGGAAUCUACCCAUCUCUACGGAAUAACGCAUGGAAACGUGUGCUAAUACCGUAUACGUCCUUCGGGAGAAAGAUUUAUCGGAGAGGGAGGAGCCCGCGUUGGAUUAGCUAGUUGGUGGGGUAAAGGCCUACCAAGGCGACGAUCCAUAGCUGGUCUGAGAGGAUGAUCAGCCACACUGGGACUGAGACACGGCCCAGACUCCUACGGGAGGCAGCAGUGGGGAAUAUUGGACAAUGGGCGCAAGCCUGAUCCAGCCAUGCCGCGUGAGUGAUGAAGGCCCUAGGGUUGUAAAGCUCUUUCACCGGUGAAGAUAAUGACGGUAACCGGAGAAGAAGCCCCGGCUAACUUCGUGCCAGCCGCCGCAGUAAUAC
rnacentral:rRNA from 1 species